AUUGAACGCUGGCGGAAUGCUUUACACAUGCAAGUCGAACGGCAGCACGGACUUCGGUCUGGUGGCGAGUGGCGAACGGGUGAGUAAUGUAUCGGAACGUGCCCAGUCGUGGGGGAUAACGUAGUGAAAAUUACGCUAAUACCGCAUACGAUCUAUGGAUGAAAGCGGGGGAUCGCAAGACCUGGCGCGAUUGGAGCGGCCGAUAUCAGAUUAGGUAGUUGGUGGGGUAAAGGCCCACCAAGCCAACGAUCUGUAGCUGGUCUGAGAGGACGACCAGCCACACUGGAACUGAGACACGGUCCAGACUCCUACGGGAGGCAGCAGUGGGGAAUUUUGGACAAUGGGCGAAAGCCUGAUCCAGCCACUCCGCGUGCAGGAUGAAGGCCCUCGGGUUGUAAACUGCUUUUGUACAGAACGAAAAGGUUUCUACUAAUACCAGGAGCUCAUGACGGUACUGUAAGAAUAAGCACCGGCUAACUACGUGCCAGCCGCCGCAGUAA
rnacentral:rRNA from 1 species